rfam:Stegodyphus mimosarum contig50865, whole genome shotgun sequence.
ACUUUCGUGGUGUAAUGAUCAGCACACUCGGCGCGUAUUCGAGAGGUCCGUGGUUCGAACCCCGGCGAAGGCA